CCUACCCAUGAGCAGGAUGAAGCGAAAGUAAAAUUUCGUGGAGGUCCGAACCCACGAGCGUUGAAAAGCUCGGGGAUGACUUGUGGGUAGCGGUGAAAUUCCAAUCGAGCCCGGAGAUAGCUGGUUCUCCCCGAGAUAGCUUUAGGGCUAGCCUCAAGGUGAGAGAUACGGAGGUAGAGCACUGAAUGUCCUAGGGGGUAUUGCACCGACCGAAGACUAUCAAACUCCGAAUGCCGUCAUCUUAUACUUGGGAGUCAGACUGUGGGUGAUA
rnacentral:rRNA from 1 species